rnacentral:rRNA from 1 species
AAGCAUAUCACUUGAUGUGCAAGGCGGUCAGAAAAGGACCGCCUAGUCAUGCAUGCAAUUGCUUGCAUCAUGGCGACACCAUCAAAUUGCCGGAACAUCCUGCUAAGGCAUUGGUACCGUCUGCUGUGUGAAAACACGUUAUGACACCGUA